rnacentral:rRNA from 1 species
CCUACGGGAGGCAGCAGUGAGGAAUAUUGGUCAAUGGCCGAGAGGCUGAACCAGCCAAGUCGCGUGAGGGAAGACGGCCCUACGGGUUGUAAACCCCUUUUGUCGGGGAGCAAAGAGAGUCACGUGUGACUCAUUGAGGUUACCCGAAGAAAAAGCACCGGCUAAAUCCGGGCCAGAAGCCGGGGUAAUCCGGAGGGUGCAAGCGUUACUCGGAAUCACUGGGCGUAAAGAGCGCGUAGGCGGGAUGGCAAGUCGGAUGUGAAAUCCUAUGGCUUAACCAUAGAAGUGCAUUUGAUACUGGUAUUCUAGAGUGUGGGAGAGGUAGGUGGAAUGCUUGGUGUAGCGGUGAAAUCCGUAGAGAUCA